AACGCACGAGACCUGCGGACCUGCGGAGGGAUCAUUAUUUGAUGCGCUAUGCGCAUGUUGAUAGAUUAUAUGCUGUAAAGCGUUUAAGGGCGUUGCCCAAUAUCUUCCGUAUGUUGGUUUUGGCUUCUGGCUACGCAAUCUUAGGUUGCUGGCUACUGAGAGCGCUAAUUUUUCCGUACCUUAUAUAUUAGUGCGUGAUAAUGUUUUUUUUGUGGUUACAACUUUCAACAACGGAUCUCU
rnacentral:misc_RNA from 1 species